AGCGGACUAAAAAGAAUUAGGACGGAAGAAGUAAACAAAAUGAAAAUAUUGGCCUACAAACAUUGAAAUCACUAACAAAAAAGUUCGAAAAGGAAGGAGGAUUAGGCUUACAUGUUUCUCCUUUUGAUAUAAUCUCAGCAUUCUCUCCCAUAGUGAUGCAAGGGAAAAAACAAGUAGCCACACCUUCAAGGAGUCAAGAAAAUUAUCAAGAUUUUAGCAAAUACUAAUGUUUUAUUUAAGCAAAACUGAAGAGUUAAUUUAAAUAGUUGUUCAUUCAAUCAUUUAUACUAAAACAAUCCAGCAAAUAUAUAACAAUAUAAUAAUAACAACAAACUUAGUAUAAUCCUAUAAAGUAGGGUUUGGAGGUCUGAUAGAAUGUGCACAAACCUUAUUCUACCUUGUGGAGGUAUAUAGGUUAUUUUUGAUAGACCCCGAUCUUAAAAUAAAUAUAAAAGAAGCAGACACAACACGUAGGAACAUCAACAAGAUAAGAUGGUAGGGAAACAUGAUGAUAGAAUAAUCAAAGCGAAAGCAUCAACAUGUGUAUAAUCGAUAUAUAAUUAAUUAUAUCAAUUAGAAAGAAAAAAUUAAAUGGAGAAUUCAACUGGCUAUUUGUGUAAAGAUCGCUAAUGAAUUUGCAAUGAUGAAGCACAAAAUGUAAAAAUUAUACAGUUGAUGGGAUCAUCUAAGCAAUCACAAAUACCACUUGACCAUUGAACCUCUGUUGAAUUUGCUGUUGAUGGCAUAUUUUAGAACAAAUAAAAUGAAUGAAUUGAAAGGAUAUUAAAAGGUUAUUUUUCAAAAUUUU
rnacentral:lncRNA from 1 species